CGUUUUGUAAGUACGGGACAAGUCAACUGUGAGUACGCUAAGUUCAUAAUUUCCGAGAAAAAGAAGAUACUUCUGAGGGCGUUGUGGAACUGCUGUUUAUGUUUCUUAGAAUAGUUAGACCAUACGUAUACACAACUUGUUUUUGUCCACACACUGGUUCGAUGCAGCUCUCCAAACUAUUCUCGAAGAUAGACCUAUACUAGUCCGAGAGUGUCUACUGGCAAACUUUCGAGUACCAGCUUCGAAUGACGAUUCUACGAAUAAACUACAACCCCCUACGUAUCACUCACAUAAGGACUGUGAGGACAAGAUAAGAACAAUCACAGUAUGCACUGAGGUAUUCAGACAAUCAUUCUUCCCACAUUCCGUAUGUGAGUGGAAUGGGAGGAAACCCUAAUAACUCACACAAUGAUGCAGAAAGAUAGUGUCGUAUCGGCUGCCGCACAGCAGCCGUCAACUCGGUGCGGCGUGCUACAACACGCGCGGCACACAGCGAGUGCCACUGGCGCCGCACACGAAGUCAACAACUGGCGCAAGUGAACGCGUCGUCGCAGGGUUAGCGGCAGCGGACACACCACUAUCGAUACGGAUUACCCCUGGCGGCGCUGCCCUCGCCACCAGAGUGAGCAACCGUAUAAGGGCGCCAUCUACCGACACUCUGAUUGGCCGGACCUGCGGAUUUAAGCGAGCUCCCUGAGCCCGUUUAACCAGUUCGAUCUUCGCCGAUGACUGUGUUACUACCCGGCUGCCGGAUUCACGACGACCGAACCGUACUGUGGCGUCCCUGGCUGGAAACUUGCGACGCGUCGGUAUCGACUGGUUGGCAGUGUUUUGGACUUGUAUUCUCUACUAGUGACUCUGAUUUCUCCUCGGUGCUACAGCGAGCGAAGUGUUGUGUAGUCGAACUUAAGUUUUGUUUUCAGUGACAGAAGAUCAAAUAAAUUUGGUUAUCACGGAAUAUUUGUUGUGUUUGUAGUGAAUACGUACAAUCAAAUAAACUGAAGCAAACAACAAAACUGUGCUUGACUAUUGUAGUAUACCUUUCCCCUCGGGGUCCUGCUGUGAAAAAUAUA